UAGAGAUCUGUCUGUUGUUUGUUCUUAGUGUCAGGAUGGAUCCCUUGUCUCUUUCUCUGCAAACAAAAUCUACCUACGGGUACAAAUAAAUAACCGGAACCUGGUCACAGCAAUGUUUUGUAUUGCAGAGCCGUUUGAAAGGAACAACGUGGCCAGGGCAGUCCAUGAGAAGAUCAAGUUUGACGCCAUCAAAGCGGAGUUUGCUGUGUCAUACCGGAUACUAGAGGACGUGCAGGACCUGAACUCCGUCCUCCCAGUCAGAGAAAUCAUUAAAAAGGAGUCCUCCAGGAGAUAAGGUGUUCCUCUCAUUCGACGAGCGGACAGGAGUCUUCUACCUCAAGAGAGGCCUGUCCCCGGAAAGAGAAACCCAUUUGGAUGUGCUCACAGCCAGGAAAAAAAAAGACUGAAUGCUCUCGCUGCGUUGAUAUGGGUUAACCACAUAGGGUUUUUCCAGUGGCAGUACAUGUACUUGGAAAUACUGGGCUCACUUUCAAAUGCUUCUAUAACUUCAAAUAAUUGAAACUAAAUGUAAAAAUAUAUUAUUUCUGAAGUGACACCAGAGGGCUCUGAAAUUCUAAUUUGGUUACAGUGGGAGGCUGCACUGAAGCAGGAUAAUAAUGGUCAGUGUUAUUAAGCAUGGUUAUAGCUGCUACAUAACACUCUUCACCAACUCGAUUGGCAUUACUGGAAAGUAGUUAGGAAUAUAGAAAAAGGAUGAAAAUACUUCCUGCAAUCUGUUAGAAUCUGAAGUCUUAUUAAAUGGAUGCGGCAACGUUUUGUUUCAACUGUUCUGGACCAGGUUCAUCUCAGUUACAUUUGUAUCCACAUUGUUGGAGCCAUAGUAUUAAAGAAAGUGCCAAUCAUUUGCUUUUGCAUCAUAUGUACAGUAUGUAGUCUACAGCCGGUAUGGACCAACUUGUAAUAUCAGAACCUUUCGUUCUAUUUUUAUAGGUCAGUGGUGAAGUUAUCGUGGGUUUAAACAUCCAUAGAUAUUGUUUUCUACAUCUAUCCUCUCCUUUUUCCAUAAUUCAUCAUCUUUAAGUUGCUAAAAUGAGCUUGUUUAAGUUGGUGUUAUAUUAUAAGUGACUCUGGGAAUCAUUAGAGGGCUGCGGGGGGCCACACUCUGGAUGUUGACACUUCAUUGCUCCUGAUGAGCUGUAUUCAUUUCCCUUGAUAGACCUAUGCUGUGUCAUUUGAGUUCAUCUACCUGAUUUGGAAAAAAAAUCCUGCUAUUCAUUCAUUAUUCUGUUCAUGCAA